rnacentral:tRNA from 1 species
GGAGUUAUAGCUUGGUGGUAGAGUACUUGCCUACCAUGCAGGAGGCCCUGGGUUCAAUCCCCAGCACCA